GGUACCGUCAAACUAUACAAGUAUUAUUCAUAUAGCACUUCUUUCCAUCUGACAGGAUUUUACGACCCGAAGGCCUUCAUCAUCCACGCGGCGUCGCUGCGUCAGGGUUGCCCCCCAUUGCGCAAUAUUCCUC
rnacentral:rRNA from 1 species